UACGUAGGGUCCGAGCGUUGUCCGGAAUUAUUGGGCGUAAAGGGCUCGUAGGCGGUUUGUCGCGUCGGGAGUGAAAACACCGGGCUUAACUCGGUGCUUGCUUUCGAUACGGGCAGACUGGAGGUAUGCAGGGGAGAACGGAAUUCCGUGGUGUAGCGGUGAAAUGCGCAGAUAUCAGGAGGAACACCGGUGGCGAAGGCGGUUCUCUGGGCAUUACCUGACGCUGAGGAGCGAAAGUGUGGGGAGCGAACAGG
rnacentral:rRNA from 1 species